rnacentral:rRNA from 1 species
CCCAGACUCCUACGGGAGGCAGCAGUGGGGAAUAUUGCACAAUGGGGGAAACCCUGAUGCAGCGACGCCGCGUGAGUGAGGAAGUAUUUCGGUAUGUAAAGCUCUAUCAGCAGGGAAGAAAAUGACGGUACCUGACUAAGAAGCCCCGGCUAACUACGUGCCAGCAGCCGCGGUAAUACGUAGGGGGCAAGCGUUAUCCGGAUUUACUGGGUGUAAAGGGAGCGUAGACGGACUUGCAAGUCUGAUGUGAAAAUCCGGGGCCCAACCCCGGAACUGCAUUGGAAACUGCGAGGCUGGAGUGUCGGAGAGGCAGGCGGAAUUCCUAGUGUAGCGGUGAAAUGCGUAGAUAUUAGGAGGAACACCAGUGGCGAAGGCGGCCUGCUGGACGAUGACUGACGCUGAGGCUCGAAAGCGUGGGGAGCAAACAGGAUUAGAUACCCCAGUAGGA